AUAUCAUGAUGUGGACACUUCCUCAGAAGAUCAUUGUAUCUUUCCCAUGCAUCAUAGAACUGUUCACCCGAGAUUUGGAAGAACGCCAUGAUGUCUCUUCUCAUUU